rnacentral:lncRNA from 1 species
CAACCUGCUGUCCUGCCUCGGGGUGGGUGCGAUACCUGAGACACCCUCAGCUGCUCUGCUGCCGGCGCCUGCUGCCCAGCCGCGAGGUGACCGAGCAGCUCCUGGACGGCGCCGACGAGCUGCAGCGCUUCGCCGGCCACUACGCCGACAAGAUCGCCUUCCACACGGAGCAGCUGAAGGACAUCUUCCAGCCGUACACGGCGCGGCUGCUGAGCGAGAUCCACCGCAACGUGGACGAGCUGCACCGCAGCGUGGCCCCGCACGCCCGCGCCAGCCCCGAGCAGCUCAACCUGCACAUCCAGGAGCUGUCGGCCAAGCUGAGCCGCAACGCGCGGGACCUGCACCGGCAGAUCCAGCGGAACCUGGAGCAGCUCCGUGCCAAGCUGAGCCGGGUCCCCGGCAGCCUGGCGGAGCGCCCGGGCCGCUACCGGGAGGCGCUGGCGCGGGAGGUGCAGCGGCGCGUGGAGGAGUUCCGGCGGGACACGUACGCGCAGAUCCAGGCCUUCACGCGGGCGCUGGACCAGGAGACCGAGGAGAUGCGGCUGAAGCUCAGCGCCCGGCCGGAGCUGCCCCAGGAGCCGCUGGACGCCACGCCGCCGCCCGUGGAGGAGCUCCGCGCCCGGCUGGACGCGCUGUGGAGGGACCUGGCGCUGAGCCUGAGCGAGCGCGGAGCGGAGGGGCCCGGGAGGGACGGGACGGGGGAGGAACCCCAAUAAAGGAACCGCCAUCGCGGCCUGCGUGUCACGUGAUCGUCCCCGUGUGUCACAUGACCCGCCCGAAUGUCACGUGACAAUCCUCACGUGUCACAUGAUCCUCCCCGAGUAUCACAUGAUCUUCCCCAUGUGUCACAUGAUAAUCGCGUGUCACAUGAUUCACCUGAAAUUCACAUGAUCCGCACAGCGCGUCACAUGAUAAUCCCCACGUGUCACAUGAUCAUCCCCGUGUGUCACAUGACUUUUUUGCGCAUGUCACAUGGGGGGCUACCGGCGCGUCACGUGACCUUACGGAGCGUC